ACGUACACUCCUGCGGGAGGCAGCAGUGGGGAAUAUUGGACAAUGGGCGCAAGCCUGAUCCAGCCAUGCCGCGUGAGUGAUGAAGGCCCUAGGGUUGUAAAGCUCUUUCACCGGUGAAGAUAAUGACGGUAACCGGAGAAGAAGCCCCGGCUAACUUCGUGCCAGCAGCCGCGGUAAUACGAAGGGGGCUAGCGUCGUUCGGAUUUACUGGGCGUAAAGCGCACGUAGGCGGACUAUUAAGUCAGGGGUGAAAUCCCGGGGCUCAACCCCGGAACUGCCUUUGAUACUGGUAGUCUUGAGUUCGAGAGAGGUGAGUGGAAUUCCGAGUGUAGAGGUGAAAUUCGUAGAUAUUCGGAGGAACACCAGUGGCGAAGGCGGCUCACUGGCUCGAUACUGACGCUGAGGUGCGAAAGCGUGGGGAGCAAACAGGAUUAGAUACCCUAGUAGUCCAUG
rnacentral:rRNA from 1 species